rnacentral:rRNA from 1 species
UGGGGAAUAUUGCACAAUGGGCGCAAGCCUGAUGCAGCCAUGCCGCGUGUAUGAAGAAGGCCUUCGGGUUGUAAAGUACUUUCAGCGGGGAGGAAGGGAGUAAAGUUAAUACCUUUGCUCAUUGACGUUACCCGCAGAAGAAGCACCGGCUAACUCCGUGCCAGCAGCCGCGGUAAUACGGAGGGUGCAAGCGUUAAUCGGAAUUACUGGGCGUAAAGCGCACGCAGGCGGUUUGUUAAGUCAGAUGUGAAAUCCCCGGGCUCAACCUGGGAACUGAAUAUGGUACUGGCAAGCUUGAGUCUCGUAGAGGGGGGUAGAAUUCCAGGUGUAGCGGUGAAAUGCGUAGAGAUCUGGAGGAAUACCGGUGGCGAAGGCGGCCCCCUGGACGAAGACUGACGCUCAGGUGCGAAAGCGUGGGGAGCAAACAGG